AUGCUCAUGGCUUCUCACACUGACACUGUUGUUUCUUCUCUGAAGCUGGCUCCUGAGAGCAAUGGCCUCCACCGCCUCAUACACCAUUAUUUCUCUCCCAGGAUGCUGCUGCAGAUGCUAGCUAGUUGGACACAGAGUGAUGAAGAGACUGGUGACUUGAGGAUCCAUCGAUCUCCUGAGUAUUUGUACUCGUAG
rnacentral:rRNA from 1 species